GCCCUUAUGGGCAUUUGGUCAAUUUGAAACAAUACAGAGAAGAUUAGCAUGGCCCCUGCACUAAGGAUGACACAUGCACUCGAAGAGGAGCUAGAAAGUUUU
rfam:Acidomyces richmondensis BFW scaffold_28, whole genome shotgun sequence.